UACGUAGGUGGCAAGCGUUGUCCGGAUUUACUGGGCGUAAAGAGCGCGCAGGCGGCCGAGUAAGUCGAAUGUGAAAGCCCCCGGCUCAACUGGGGAAGGUCAUUCGAUACUGUUCGGCUCGAAGAUAGGAGAGGGAAGCGGAAUUUCAGGUGUAGUGGUGAAAUGCGUAGAUAUCGGGAGGAACACCAGUGGCGAAGGCGACUACCUGGCCUGUUCUUGACGCUGAGGCGCGAAAGCUAGGGUAGCAAACGGG
rnacentral:rRNA from 1 species